UACGGGGGGGGCAAGCGUUAUCCGGAAUUAUUGGGCGUAAAGAGCUCGUAGGCGGUUUGUCGCGUCUGCCGUGAAAGUCCGGGGCUCAACUCCGGAUCUGCGGUGGGUACGGGCAGACUAGAGUGAUGUAGGGGAGACUGGAAUUCCUGGUGUAGCGGUGAAAUGCGCAGAUAUCAGGAGGAACACCGAUGGCGAAGGCAGGUCUCUGGGCAUUAACUGACGCUGAGGGGCGAAAGCAUGGGGAGCGAACAGG
rnacentral:rRNA from 1 species